GACGAACGCUGGCGGCGUGCCUAAUACAUGCAAGUAGAACGCUGAAGGAGGAGCUUGCUUCUCUGGAUGAGUUGCGAACGGGUGAGUAACGCGUAGGUAACCUGCCUGGUAGCGGGGGAUAACUAUUGGAAACGAUAGCUAAUACCGCAUAAUAGUAGAUGUUGCAUGACAUUUGCUUAAAAGGUGCAAUUGCAUCACUACCAGAUGGACCUGCGUUGUAUUAGCUAGUUGGUGGGGUAACGGCUCACCAAGGCGACGAUACAUAGCCGACCUGAGAGGGUGAUCGGCCACACUGGGACUGAGACACGGCCCAGACUCCUACGGGAGGCAGCAGUAGGGAAUCUUCGGCAAUGGACGGAAGGCUGACCGAGCAACGCCGCGUGAGUGAAGAAGGGUUUCGGAUCGCAAAGCUCUGUUGUAAGAGAAGAACGAGUGUGAGAGUGGAAAGUUCACACUGUGACGGUAUCUUACCAGAAAGGGACGGCUAACUACGUG
rnacentral:rRNA from 1 species